GCCCGACUAGCUCAUCGGUAGAGCGCCUCACUAGUAUAUUCUCUCUCGAAUUAUUCCAAAAGGGAAUGAAUCGGUAUGAGGAGGCAACAGGUUCGAUUCCUGUGUUGGGCA
rnacentral:tRNA from 1 species